rnacentral:pre_miRNA from 1 species
GGGGGAGGCCGGAUCCUGGGCUGUGUCCCGGCGCCCUGUGCUCUGGGGCCUGCGCUGUUGGAUUCGCGCUACAGGGCCGCGCAAUCCCCU